CAUAUCAAUAAGCGGAGGAAAAGAAACCAACAGGGAUUGCCCCAGUAACGGCGAGUGAAGCGGCAACAGCUCAAAUUUGAAAUCUGGCACCUAGUGCCCGAGUUGUAAUUUGUAGAGGAUGCUUUUGGCAAGGUGCCUUCCGAGUUCCCUGGAACGGGACGCCAUAGAGGGUGAGAGCCCCGUCUGGUCGGAUACCGCGCCUCUGUAAAGCUCCUUCGACGAGUCGAGUAGUUUGGGAAUGCUGCUCAAAAUGGGAGGUAUAUGUCUUCUAAAGCUAAAUAUUGGCCAGAGACCGAUAGCGCACAAGUAGAGUGAUCGAAAGAUGAAAAGCACUUUGAAAAGAGGGUUAAAAAGUACGUGAAAUUGUUGAAAGGGAAGCGCCUAUGACCAGACUUGGGCCCGGUGAAUCAUCCAGCGUUCUCGCUGGUGCACUUUGCCGGGCACAGGCCAGCAUCAGUUUGGCUUGGGGGAAAAAGGCUUAGGGAACGUAGCUCCUCGGAGUGUUAUAGACCUUUGCAUAAUACCCUGAGCUGGACUGAGGUUCGCGCAUCUGCAAGGAUGCUGGCGUAAUGGUCAUCAGCGACCCGUCUUGAAACACGGACCAAGGAGUCGUCUUCGUAUGCGAGUGUUCGGGUGUAAAACCCCUACGCGUAAUGAAAGUGAACGCAGGUGAGAGCUUCGGCGCAUCAUCGACCGAUCCUGAUGUUCUCGGAUGGAUUUGAGUAAGAGCAUACGGGGCCGGACCCGAAAGAAGGUGAACUAUGCCUGUAUAGGGUGAAGCCAGAGGAAACUCUGGUGGAGGCUCGCAGCGGUUCUGACGUGCGAAUCGAUCGUCAAAUAUGGGCAUGGGGGCGAAAGA
rnacentral:rRNA from 1 species